rnacentral:rRNA from 1 species
AUUGAACGCUGGCGGCAUGCCUUACACAUGCAAGUCGAACGGCAGCACGGGAGCAAUCCUGGUGGCGAGUGGCGAACGGGUGAGUAAUAUAUCGGAACGUGCCCAGUCGUGGGGGAUAACGUAGCGAAAGCUACGCUAAUACCGCAUACGAUCUAUGGAUGAAAGCGGGGGAUCGCAAGACCUCGCGCGAUUGGAGCGGCCGAUAUCAGAUUAGGUUGUUGGUGGGGUAAAAGCCCACCAAGCCGACGAUCUGUAGCUGGUCUGAGAGGACGACCAGCCACACUGGGACUGAGACACGGCCCAGACUCCUACGGGAGGCAGCAGUGGGGAAUUUUGGACAAUGGGCGCAAGCCUGAUCCAGCAAUGCCGCGUGCAGGAUGAAGGCCUUCGGUUGUAACUAGCUUUGUACGGUAACGAAACGGUACCGUCUCUAAUACGGGGCGUAAGUGACGGUACCGUAAGAAUAAGACACCGGCUAACUACGUGCCAGCAGCCG